rnacentral:rRNA from 1 species
AACGAACGCUGGCGGCAGGCCUAACACAUGCAAGUCGAACGCUGUAGCAAUACAGAGUGGCGCACGGGUGAGUAACGCGUAGGAAUCUACCCAUUAGCCUGGGAUAACAGCGGGAAACUGCUGCUAAUACCGGAUACGCCCUUCGGGGGAAAGGUUUACUACUAAUGGAUGAGCCUGCGUUAGAUUAGCUAGUUGGUGAGGUAAUGGCUCACCAAGGCUCCGAUCUAUAGCCGGUCUGAGAGGACGUUCGGCCACACUGGAACUGAGACACGGCCCAGACUCCUACGGGAGGCAGCAGUGGGGAAUAUUGGGCAAUGGACGCAAGUCUGACCCAGCCAUGCCGCGUGUGUGAUGAAGGCCUUAGGGUUGUAAAGCACUUUUAGUAGCGAAGAUGAUGACAGUAGCUACAGAAAAAGCCCCGGCUAACUUCGUGCCAGCCGCCGCAGUAA